GAUGAACGCUGGCGGCAUGCCUAAUACAUGCAAGUCGAGCGAAUUGACAGAGGUGCUUGCACCUCUCGAUUUUAGCGGCGGACGGGUUAGUAACACGUGGGUAACCUACCUAUAAGACUGGGAUAACUUCGGGAAACCGGAGCUAAUACCGGAUAAGAUUUAGCUUCGCAUGAAGCAAUAGUGAAAGACGGUUCUGCUGUCACUUAUAGAUGGACCUGCGGUGUAUUAGCUAGUUGGUGAGGUAACGGCUCACCAAGGCAACGAUACAUAGCCGACCUGAGAGGGUGAUCGGCCACACUGGGACUGAGACACGGCCCAGACUCCUACGGGAGGCAGCAGUAGGGAAUCUUCCGCAAUGGACGAAAGUCUGACGGAGCAACGCCGCGUGAGUGAAGAAGGUUUUCGGAUCGUGAAACUCUGUUGUAAGCGAAGAACAAGUACGUUAGUAACUGAACGUACCUUGACGGUACCUUACCAGAAAGCCACGGCUAACUACGUGCCAGCCGCCGCGGUAACAC
rnacentral:rRNA from 1 species